UACGUAGGUGGCAAGCGUUGUCCGGAUUUAUUGGGUUUAAAGGGUGCGUAGGCGGCUUAUUAAGUCAGUGGUGAAAUACUCUAGCUCAACUAGAGGGGUGCCAUUGAUACUGAUGAGCUUGAGUACAGAUGAGGUAGGCGGAAUUGACGGUGUAGCGGUGAAAUGCUUAGAUAUCGUCAAGAACACCUAUAGCGAAGGCAGCUUACUAGGCUGUAACUGACGCUGAGGCACGAAAAGUGUGGGGAUCAAACAGG
rnacentral:rRNA from 1 species